rnacentral:misc_RNA from 1 species
ACAAAACUAAUGGCAUUAUUAAGCUAUAGUCUCUUCCUUUGAACUUGUUUAGUAUUCAUGGAAACUAUCGACGUAAUAAGAAUGUUGUAUAUUUGUUGGUUUGAUAUGUAGAAAUCAUGAGUUCCUUUCGAGCUGAUCGUAUGUGGAUGUAUAAUAGACUUGUGCCAAGUCGGAAAGGGGUCAUUACUGAGUUUAUUAAUGGUGUGCGUGGAUUUAUAGAGUUUGCACUAACGCAACACAACUUUGUUUCUAAUGGGAGUAUAAAAGUGCCCAUGUUCAAGAUGUGAAAAUAGUGGGUUUCUCACAACAGAUAUUAUUACUGCGCAUUUAUACAAGUUUGGGUUCAUGCCUAACUAUUAUCAUUGGGUUUCACAUGGGGAGCCUUUUAUACCAAUUUUGAGGCCAGAAUCUGGUGUGCAUGAAGGCACUGAAAGAGUAGCUGAUAAUACACCAGUAAAUCCAUACCGCACUAUGGUAUUUGAAGCUGUUGGUCCUUAUUUCAACUUUGAUUGUGAUGGAUUUGAUAUGGAUGAUGAAGAAGAACCUCCAAAUCGAAAUGCUCAAGACUUUUUUGAGAUGUUAAGAGCUGCAGAAGAGCCAUUGUUGUAACACCCUUCACCCGACUACAAUGUAGCCGAGCAAGG